rnacentral:rRNA from 1 species
UGGGGGAUAUUGCACAAUGGGCGAAAGCCUGAUGCAGCGACGCCGCGUGGGGGAUGAAGGCUUUCGGGUUGUAAACCUCUUUCGCUAUCGAACAAGGCCCGCUUAGGGUGGGUUGAGGGUAGGUGGAGAAGAAGCGCCGGCUAACUACGUGCCAGCAGCCGCGGUAAUACGUAGGGCGCGAGCGUUGUCCGGAAGUAUUGGGCGUAAAGGGCUUGUAGGCGGCUUGUUGCGCCUGCUGUGAAAACGCGGGGCUUAACUUCGCGCGUGCAGUGGGUACGGGCAGGCUUGAGUGUGGUAGGGGUGACUGGAAUUCCAGGUGUAGCGGUGGAAUGCGCAGCUAUCUGGAGGAACACCGAUGGCGAAGGCAGGUCACUGGGCCAUUACUGACGCUGAGGAGCGAAAGCAUGGGUAGCGAACAGG